ACAAUACUGCUAGCUUAAUUAACCAUAAUUUACCCUUUAAAAACUAAAACAUUUAUAAUCUUAGUAUAGGCGAUAGAAUAGUUAUUAAAACGCUAAAAAAUAAGUACCGCAAGGGACUGCUGAAAAAGAAAUUAAAUAAAAUACCAAUGUAAAAAAUAGCAAAGAUAAUUACUUGUACCUUUUGCAUCAUGAUUUAACUAGUCAUCAUAAAGCAAAUAGACCUAAAGCUUUCUAACCCGAAACUAGACGAGCUAUUUAAAAACAGCUAAUAGAGCAAACUCAUCUCUGUAGCAAAAGAGUGAAAAGAUUUUUAAAUAGAGGCAAAAUACCUAUCGAGCCUAGUGAUAGCUGGUUACUUAUUAAUCGAGUUUAAGCUCCACCUUAAAAUUUAUUAAAAUAAAAUUUAAAAUAAAAUUAAUUUUUAAGAGUCAUUCAAAAGGGGUACAGCCCUCUUGAAAAAGGAUACAACCUAAACUAAUGGGUAAUGAUAUUUUAGAAUUUUUUUUCCACCUAGUUGACCUAAAAGCAGCCACCUUCUUAAAAAGCGUUAUAGCUUAAUUUUAAUAAAUUCCAAAAUUCCUAUAACCUAUUCAAAACCCAUAAACCAUAAUAAGUCCUAUUAUUUUUAUAAAAAAGUCCAUGUUAAAAUUAGUAAUAAGAAAAUAUGAUUUUCUCUGUGCAUAUAUGUAAAUCAAAAUGAACUAGUCACUGAUAAUUACCGAAAAAAUUAGAGUGUUUUCCUUAACUAGAUAAAAAACUUAUUAAUAUCGUUAACCCCACACAGGUGUGCUUAAAGACAGACAAAAAGAUUAAAGAAGGAACUCGGCAAAAACAAGUUUCGCCUGUUUACCAAAAACAUCACCUCUAGCAAAUUAAACAUGUAUUAUAGGCAAUGCCUGCCCAGUGACACCUAGUUAACGGCCGCGGUAUUCUGACCGUGCAAAGGUAGCAUAAUCACUUGUCUUUUAAAUAAAGACUAGUAUGAAUGGCAAAACGAAAACUUAACUGUCUCCUUAAUCUAGUCAAUGAAAUUGAUCUUCUUGUACAAAAGCAAGAAUAAAAAAAUAAGACGAGAAGACCCUAUGGAACUUAAGUUAUUAUACACUUAAACAUAUUAUUAAUAAUAAUUGAAAUACUAACUUUGGUUGGGGCAACCACGGAGAAUAAGUAUCCUCCGAGAAAUACAAGCUAAACUAAACAAAAUUAAGCACCAGAAAUCUACAAUUAGACCCAAUAUAAUUGAUCAACGAACCAAGCUACCCUAGGGAUAACAGCGCAAUCUUCUUCACGAGCCCUUAUCAUCAAGAAGGUUUACGACCUCGAUGUUGGAUCAGGAUAUCCCUACAGUGCAGCUGCUGUUAAUGGUUUGUUUGUUCAACAAUUAAAAUCCUACGUGAUCUGAGUUCAGACCGGAGAAAUCCAGGUCAGUUUCUAUCUAUUAAUAAUUCUUUUUAGUACGAAAGGACCAAAAGAAUAAGACCAAUAUUUUUAGCAUGUCUUACAAAAUAUAAUGAAACUAUCUCAAUUAAAAUAUAAUAUAAAUCCAAAAUAGGAUAG
rnacentral:rRNA from 1 species